CAGCAGCCGCGGGAAUACGUAGGUGGCAAGCGUUGUCCGGAAUUAUUGGGCGUAAAGCGCACGUAGGCGGCUUUGCAAGUCAGAGGUGAAAGCCCGGGGCUCAACCCCGGAUGUGCCUUUGAGACUGUGAGGCUUGAACGUCGGAGAGGUGAGUGGAAUUCCGAGUGUAGAGGUGAAAUUCGUAGAUAUUCGGAAGAACACCAGUGGCGAAGGCGGCUCACUGGACGACUGUUGACGCUGAGGUGCGAAAGCGUGGGGAGCAAACAGGAUUAGAUACCCCCGUAGUCCCUGUCUCUUAUAC
rnacentral:rRNA from 1 species